rnacentral:rRNA from 1 species
GACGAACGCUGGCGGCGUGCUUAACACAUGCAAGUCGAACGGAAAGGCCCUGCUUUUGUGGGGUGCUCGAGUGGCGAACGGGUGAGUAACACGUGAGUAACCUGCCCUUGACUUUGGGAUAACUUCAGGAAACUGGGGCUAAUACCGGAUAGGAGCUCCUGCCGCAUGGUGGGGGUUGGAAAGUUUCGGCGGUUGGGGAUGGACUCGCGGCUUAUCAGCUUGUUGGUGGGGUAGUGGCUUACCAAGGCUUUGACGGGUAGCCGGCCUGAGAGGGUGACCGGCCACAUUGGGACUGAGGUACGGCCCAGACUCCUACGGGAGGCAGCAGUGGGGAAUAUUGCACAAUGGGCGGAAGCCUGAUGCAGCAACGCCGCGUGCGGGAUGACGGCCUUCGGGUUGUAAACCGCUUUCGCCUGUGACGAAGCGUGAGUGACGGUAAUGGGUAAAGAAGCACCGGCUAACUACGUG